rnacentral:rRNA from 1 species
AUGGCCGACCGAGUCCACCCCAUGCAGUCUCCGCCUCAUCCCGCGUCCCCUCUGCCGCCGCCGGACCAGGAGGACGCAGCGGCGGCGGCGGCGGCAGCCACGGAGACCACGCCGCUCCACCCCACCUUCUACGGCCCGCCGGCGCCGCCGCCCGGGACGUACAUCGUCCAGAUUCCCAAGGACCAGGUCCUCCGCGUGCCGCCCUCCGACCGGGCCAGCCGGUACAAGAGUCUCGCGGAGCGCCCGGUCCGGCGCCGUCGCCUGCGCCGCGCCUGCUUCGGCGCCUUCGGGGCCGUGCUCUUCCUUGCUCUCGCCGCCGCCGUGUUCGUGGGCGCCGUGUACCUCGUCUUCCGCCCCCGCGCGCCCGCCUUUUCCGUCGCCUCCCUCUCCAUCCGCGGCCUUGACGUGGUCGCCCCUUCGCUCUCGCCGGAGCUCGAAGUCGCCCUGCGCGCGGACAACGGCGCGAACAGGAAGGUGGGCGUCGACUACCGCGGGGCCGGUGAGGUGGCAGUCACUUACUCCGGUGCGCGCCUUGCGGCCGGCCAGUGGCCGGCGUUCCACCAGGCGCCGAGGAACGUGACGGUGUUGUCCACGACGCUGAGGGGGACCGGCGUGAGCUUCAGCGACGAGCAGAGGAAGCAGCUGGCCGCGGAGCAGGCGGCGCGCGCGGUGCCGCUGACGGUGGAGGCGCGGGUGCCGGUGAGGCUGCGGUUCGGGAAGGUGCUGCGGACGUGGACGGUGGACGUGAAGGCCACGUGCCAGGUGACGGUUGACAGGCUGGCCGGCGAGGCAGCGGCGGCCAACAGAGGAUGCCGGGUCAAGGUCAGGCCGUUCUUGUGGUGGUGGUGGUGA